rnacentral:rRNA from 1 species
CCUUGCAAGUCGAGGGGAAACGACAUCGAAAGCUUGCUUUUGAUGGGCGUCGACCGGCGCACGGGUGAGUAACGCGUAUCCAACCUGCCCACCACUUGGGAAUAACCUUGCGAAAGUAAGACUAAUACCCAAUGACAUCCCACGAAGGCAUCCGAAUGGGAUUAAAGAUUUAUCGGUGAUGGAUGGGGAUGCGUCUGAUUAGCUUGUUGGCGGGGUAACGGCCCACCAAGGCAACGAUCAGUAGGGGUUCUGAGAGGAAGGUCCCCCACAUUGGAACUGAGACACGGUCCAAACUCCUACGGGAGGCAGCAGUGAGGAAUAUUGGUCAAUGGACGCGAGUCUGAACCAGCCAAGUAGCGUGCAGGAUGACGGCCCUAUGGGUUGUAAACUGCUUUUAUAUGGGAAUAAAGUGAGUCACGUGUGACUUUUUGCAUGUACCUUAUGAAUAAGGACCGGCUAAUUCCGUGCCAGCAGCCGCGGUAAUACGGAAGGUCCGGGCGUUAUCCGGAUUUAUUGGGUUUAAAGGGAGCGUAGGCCGGAGAUUAAGCGUGUUGUGAAAUGUAGAGGCUCAACCUCUGCACUGCAGCGCGAACUGGUCUUCUUGAGUACGCACAACGUGGGCGGAAUUCGUGGUGUAGCGGUGGAAUGCUUAGAUAUCACGAAAAACUCCGAUUGCGAAGGCAGCUCACGGGAGCGCA